rnacentral:rRNA from 1 species
UACGUAGGGGGCAAGCGUUGUCCGGAUUUAUUGGGCGCAAAGCGCUCGCAGGUGGUCCGAUGCGUCGUGCGUGAAAGACCCCGGCUCAACUGGGGGGUGUCGUGCGAUACGGGCGGACUGGAGGCCAGUAGGGGGAUGCGGAAUUCCGGGUGUAGUGGUGGAAUGCGUAGAGAUCCGGAGGAACACCAGCGGCGAAGGCGGCAUCCUGGACUGGUCCUGACACUCAUGAGCGAAAGCGUGGGGAGCGAUCCGG